rnacentral:rRNA from 1 species
GCUUGUCUCAAAGAUUAAGCCAUGGAUAACUGUGGUAAUUCUAGAGCUAAUACAUGCAUCAAGACCCAACUUCAUGGAAGGGUCGUGUUUAUUAGAUACAGAACCAACCCAGGCUUGUCCUGGUUUUGUGGUGAUUCAUGAUAACUGAAUGAACCGUAUGGCAUCCGCUGGCGAUAAAUCAUUCAAGUUUCUGACCUAUCAGCUUCCGACGGUAGGGUAUUGGCCUACCGUGGCAAUGACGGGUAACGGAGAAUUAGGGUUCGAUUCCGGAGAGGGAGCCUGAGAAACGGCUACCACAUCUAAGGAAGGCAGCAGG